CGGGGGGCAGCAGUGGGGAAUAUUGCACAAUGGGCGAAAGCCUGAUGCAGCGACGCCGCGUGAGGGAUGACGGCCUUCGGGUUGUAAACCUCUUUCAGCAGGGAAGAAGCCACAAGUGACGGUACCUGCAGAAGAAGCGCCGGCUAACUACGUGCCAGCAGCCGCGGUAAUACGUAGGGCGCAAGCGUUGUCCGGAAUUAUUGGGCGUAAAGAGCUCGUAGGCGGUUUGUCGCGUCUGCUGUGAAAGCCCGGGGCUUAACCCCGGGUGUGCAGUGGGUACGGGCAGACUAGAGUGCAGUAGGGGAGACUGGAAUUCCUGGUGUAGCGGUGGAAUGCGCAGAUAUCAGGAGGAACACCGAUGGCGAAGGCAGGUCUCUGGGCUGUUACUGACGCUGAGGAGCGAAAGCAUGGGGAGCGAACAGGAUUAGAUACCCCAGU
rnacentral:rRNA from 1 species